CACCAACACUUUGAAUUGUGCUCGGAAACGUACUGGGAGCCAGUGUAGGUCUUUCAAGACCAGUGUUAUAUGGUCUCAAUAAGGAAUGCUGCAUCUUUCACACAGAUAAAAUGACCUGACCCCAGCUUUCUCUCCUCCUUCCACCGUUCCCAGGACAUAGUUGUUCCGAGUUUCUGCCCUCGUCCCAGACACUUCAGGUAAAAGAAGUGGCAAGUGCGUCUUGUGGUCUGGUGCGUCUUAUAGAGCGAAAAAUACGGUAUUUCCCCUUCCUGAUGCUCAGCAGGACCAAAUCAUGUCAAUCAGUGCUAACUCUACCUCCAGGAGGAGUUAACUUUUUCCUGCAUGCUCCACUCUCCGCUGACCAGAAGAACACUUCACGAUGCCGGGAGCUUCUUCUUCUUGAGCAGAAUUCCACUUACAGAAUUGCUGGAUCUGAUCCAAAUAGAAGUCAGGCACCCAUUAGAAAGCCUAAUUUAAGGCUUUGGCAGCCGAAUCAAGCUUUUGCAUGCCACAACCCUUCCGAUAAUAAAAGGGCCGCAAAAAAGGCAACAUCUACCAUCUGUCUAGCAUCUGAUAUUUGUACAAAGUUAUGGAAAUACAACAUGCAAAAUUAUUUGGAUGGAUGCACUAAUGAGCCACCUCUCCUCUUUCGAGCCAGAUGGAUACAUUAAGGAAAGCCAGUGUAAAAGUUAUAUGGCACCACCAAACACACUGGCAUUUUCAUCUCACUGUUAGGCAGAGAUAUAUCUCCAGUGAACACAGUAGCUCAAACACUGGUAUACCCACAGUGCCACGUAAAAUCGCUCUAACACUGGCACUGGAGCUCUUCAUCACCUUACAAUCAAAGGCGUUCUCCAUAAUCAACAUGAGCCCUGCUCAGUUGAAAAGUCUCCCCUUCCACCCACCGCCCAGAUUCGCAUGCAAGCUACAGAUACUAUACCUGACGG